rnacentral:rRNA from 1 species
GGUGAGUAAUGUCUGGGAAACUGCCUGAUGGAGGGGGAUAACUACUGGAAACGGUAGCUAAUACCGCAUAACGUCGCAAGACCAAAGAGGGGGACCUUCGGGCCUCUUGCCAUCAGAUGUGCCCAGAUGGGAUUAGCUAGUAGGUGGGGUAAUGGCUCACCUAGGCGACGAUCCCUAGCUGGUCUGAGAGGAUGACCAGCCACACUGGAACUGAGACACGGUCCAG